UACGAAGGGGGCUAGCGUUGCUCGGAAUCACUGGGCGUAAAGGGUGCGUAGGCGGGUUUUUAAGUCAGAGGUGAAAUCCUGGAGCUCAACUCCAGAACUGCCUUUGAUACUGAAGAUCUUGAGUUCGGGAGAGGUGAGUGGGACUGCGAGUGUAGAGGUGAAAUUCGUAGAUAUUCGCAAGAACACCAGUGGCGAAGGCGGCUCACUGGCCCGAUACUGACGCUGAGGCACGAAAGCGUGGGGAGCAAACAGG
rnacentral:rRNA from 1 species